rnacentral:ncRNA from 1 species
AUACAAUAGGGUGGCGAAGACCUCCGGCCCACAACCUGGUCGCUUGGAGCGGAGUAAGCCAAUAGCGAAACCGACCCUUAGUGG